CAGCCGCCACGGUAAUACGUAUGUCACAAGCGUUAUCCGGAUUUAUUGGGCGUAAAGCGCGUCUAGGUGGUUAUAUAAGUCUGAUGUGAAAAUGCAGGGCUCAACUCUGUAUUGCGUUGGAAACUGUGUAACUAGAGUACUGGAGAGGUAAGCGGAACUACAAGUGUAGAGGUGAAAUUCGUAGAUAUUUGUAGGAGUGCCGAUGGGGAAGCCAGCUUACUGGACAGAUACUGACGCUGAAGCGCGAAAGCGUGGGUAGCAAACAGGAUUAGAUACCCCCGUAGUCCCUGUCUCUUAUACC
rnacentral:rRNA from 1 species